AGUGAACGCUGGCGGUAGGCCUAACACAUGCAAGUCGAACGGCAGCACAGUAAGAGCUUGCUCUUACGGGUGGCGAGUGGCGGACGGGUGAGGAAUACAUCGGAAUCUACUUUUUCGUGGGGGAUAACGUAGGGAAACUUACGCUAAUACCGCAUACGAUAUAAGGGUGAAAGAAGGGGAUGUUAGGAAAUGGGGGGAUGGAAGGAGGCGAUGUCGGAUUAGCUAGUUGGCGGGGUAAAGGCCCACCAAGGCGACGAUCCGUAGCUGGUCUGAGAGGAUGAUCAGCCACACUGGAACUGAGACACGGUCCAGACUCCUACGGGAGGCAGCAGUGGAGAAUCUUCUACACUUGCCACAAUCCUCAUCCAUCCAUACCACGUUAGUUAAGAAGGCCUUCGGGUUGUAAAGCCCUUUUGUUGGGAAAGAAAAUCAUCAUUUUAAUACCCCACUGUUCUAACUAUCCCCCAAUAAUAACCACCGGCUAACUUCCUG
rnacentral:rRNA from 1 species